AUGGCUCCUUCUCCACGCCCGAAGCCGGCUUCCGCGUCUUCAUUGACGGCGGCCGCCGCGGCGUCCCCAGCCCCGUCCGCCUCCCUCUUGGCAUUUGCGUCGCCGUCGGCAACGGCUGCUGCUUCGGCCGCGCUAGGCGCGGUGACAUCCCCAGCCCCGACGUCUCCUCGCUCAACUUCCACGUCGCCGUCAACUGCAAAUGCUUCAGCCGUGCUCGGCACACGGGCUCUUCCUGCCAGCGCCAUCGACUCUGUUGUGCGUGCACCGCAGCGGACACUGCCUGUGUCGUGGGCCUCCCUCAACGCCGACAAUGAUGAUGACGACAUCGACGAUGACGACGAGCUCGCCCCACUGACGCCGUUGGCUACCAGAUGCUCAGGUGGGGUGAGUGAUUCGGCUGCUUCUACUCCUGGGGCAACACCGGGGCAGCCAUGGGUGAAGGUGGGGGGCCGCCAUCGCCCCCGGCAGGAGUUGGCACCUGGGCCGCCGCGCAGGAAGGAGACUGCGAGCUCCCUCGCCUUCAAGCGAAGAGCCUACGGCCUCUGUUUUCGUUGCUUGGCGCCAGAACAUCUCGUUGCUGAUUGUCACGGCCCGGUUAGAUGUCUGGCGUGUGGCCUCCCAGGCCAUCGUGAACGUGGUUGUCCCUCGAGCCAGCCAAUGAAGGAUGGUUCUCGCCUUCGUCCCCGCUCGUCGCCGGCUUCCCCGCACCAUCCAAUGGACCUGCCGGACUGCCAAGCUCCUUGCCACUACAUCCGCUCGACUCCUAGAUCUCCGCAUCGACGCACCUGGGCCUCCAUUGUUACCCCUCAGGCUGCAGCAGAUCCAAACAAGUUUGUUGCUGCUGAUUGGGGAUUGCUUGAGCCUCUCUUUACUAAGAAGGAAAUGUUGCACUCUGAGAUGCAGACCUUGACCGUCUCUCGCUUGGAGGUGGUCCAGCCCCUUCACGACAUGAUGACUGCUUUACAGGGGUGGAUGACCCGGCUUGGUGGAUUCAUGGAGCAGAUGGAGGUUGUUGUUGGCCAACUGGGCUGCUUGCCAGCCUCGCUCCAGUCGCUUGAGAUGCCAGCUACAGGUUCUGUUGGGAAUGUUGCUGGUGCUGUGGAUGUCGACAGCGAAGUGGCUAGUUGCUCGUCUGAGCUCCUUGCUUCAGUGGUGCAGCUUGGGGGUGUGACCCCUGUUCUUGUCUCGUUUUCGCCUUUGGAGGAGCAUGCUGAGGCUGUUGCGGCUGUGGCAUGCGCGGAGGCUGCUCUUGGCAGUCUUCCAGUUGAGCCUCCCAUGUCUCAGCUGCCCGAGCACCAGGUUGGUUUUGUGGAUGGACGAGAAGCAUGCCUCUAUGGAUGUUUCUCCCCUCGUGCCCCUCUCUGCACAUCGCCGCUACCUGUCAUGUUGAGUGACCCUGAGAGUGAGGUCGUCACCAAUGACGUGGCUACGGUGAUACAAAGUAUGCCCGAGCUGCAUGCGUUAAGUGUGGAAACCAUUUCUCCUUCAUCGAUGGUGCUCUCGAAGGUGGAUUCGCUGGGUGCGAUGACGGUUGCCUCGACGCCCUCUCCACAUCCCUUGGAGCCUGCAUGUGUGGAGAGUGGUGGUCCAGGAACGUCUGGCAGGUGCUCGCUUGAGCCCUUUGGAGGUGUGGUUCCUAUGGCCGAUGAAAUUGUUGUGGCCGGAGUGUUGGUGCCUAACCCCCGGGUCCUUUUAGCCACCAAGAUUUGUGAAUUCCUCGCCAAUUUGGACUCUGAAAAUUCUGGGAAGACGAUUGGAUGCCUCUUGGAGGAAAAAUCUCUGAGGGAGAAGCACAAAAAGGGUGGCUCUAACUCUAGAUCCGGCGCCCUCAAAGGGAAACCUUCCAGGAGCAAAAGCAAGAAGGAUGACACUACACGGGAGGCGCAAAUGACUCCAUGA
rnacentral:rRNA from 1 species